UACGUAGGGUGCGAGCGUUAAUCGGAAUUACUGGGCGUAAAGCGUGCGCAGGCGGUUCUCCAAGUCCGCUGUGAAAGCCCCGGGCUCAACCUGGGAAUGGCAGUGGAAACUGGGGGACUGGAAUCUGGCAGAGGGGGGUGGAAUGCCGCGUGUAGCAGUGAAAUGCGUAGAGAUGCGGCGGAACACCGAUGGCGAAGGCAGCCCCCUGGGCUGAGAUUGACGCUCAGGCACGAAAGCGUGGGGAGCAAACAGG
rnacentral:rRNA from 1 species